rnacentral:rRNA from 1 species
GCUUGCUGGGGUACACGAGUGGCGAACGGGUGAGUAACACGUGGGUGACCUGCCCUGCACUUCGGGAUAAGCCUGGGAAACUGGGUCUAAUACCGGAUAGGACCGCACCGUGAGGGUGUGGUGGAAAGUUUUUUCGGUGUGGGAUGGGCCCGCGGCCUAUCAGCUUGUUGGUGGGGUAAUGGCCUACCAAGGCGGCGACGGGUACCGGCCUGAGAGGGUGGACGGCCACAUUGGGACUGAGACACGGCCCAGACUCCUACGGGAGGCAGCAGUGGGGAAUAUUGCACAAUGGGCGGAAGCCUGAUGCAGCGACGCCGCGUGGGGGAUGACGGCCUUCGGGUUGUAAACUCCUUUCACCAUCGACGAAGGGUUUCUGACGGUAGAUGGAGAAGAAGCACCGGCUAACUACGUGCCAGCAGCCGCGGUAGUACGUAGGGUGCGAGCGUUGUCCGGAAUUACUGGGCGUAAAGAGCUCGUAGGUGGUUUGUCGCGUCGUCUGUGAAAUUCCGGGGCUUAACUCCGGGCGUGCAGGCGAUACGGGCAUAACUUGAGUACUGUAGGGGAGACUGGAAUUCCUGGUGUAGCGGUGAAAUGCGCGGAUAUCAGGAGGAACACCGGUGGCGAAGGCGGGUCUCUGGGCAGUAACUGACGCUGAGGAGCGAAAGCAUGGGGAGCGAACAGGAUUAGAUACCCUGGUAGUCCAUGCCGUAAACGGUGGGCGCUAGGUGUGGGUUUCCUUCCACGGGAUCCGUGCCGUAGCUAACGCAUUAAGCGCCCCGCCUGGGGAGUACGC